CCUUUUGUAUAAUGGGUCAGCGACUUAUAUUCUGUAGCAAGGUUAACCGAAUAGGGGAGCCGAAGGGAAACCGAGUCUUAACUGGGCGUUAAGUUGCAGGGUAUAGACCCGAAACCCGGUGAUCUAGCCAUGGGCAGGUUGAAGGUUGGGUAACACUAACUGGAGGACCGAACCGACUAAUGUUGAAAAAUUAGCGGAUGACUUGUGGCUGGGGGUGAAAGGCCAAUCAAACCGGGAGAUAGCUGGUUCUCCCCGAAAGCUAUUUAGGUAGCGCCUCGUGAAUUCAUCUCCGGGGGUAGAGCACUGUUUCGGCAAGGGGGUCAUCCCGACUUACCAACCCGAUGCAAACUGCGAAUACCGGAGAAUGUUAUCACGGGAGACACACGGCGGGUGCUAACGUCCGUCGUGAAGAGGGAAACAACCCAGACCGCCAGCUAAGGUCCCAAAGUCAUGGUUAAGUGGGAAACGAUGUGGGAAGGCCCAGACAGCCAGGAUGUUGGCUUAGAAGCAGCCAUCAUUUAAAGAAAGCGUAAUAGCUCACUGGUCGAGUCGGCCUGCGCGGAAGAUGUAACGGGGCUAAACCAUGCACCGAAGCUGCGGCAGCGACGCUUAUGCGUUGUUGGGUAGGGGAGCGUUCUGUAAGCCUGUGAAGGUGUGCUGUGAGGCAUGCUGGAGGUAUCAGAAGUGCGAAUGCUGACAUAAGUAACGAUAAAGCGGGUGAAAAGCCCGCUCGCCGGAAGACCAAGGGUUCCUGUCCAACGUUAAUCGGGGCAGGGUGAGUCGACCCCUAAGGCGAGGCCGAAAGGCGUAGUCGAUGGGAAACAGGUU
rnacentral:rRNA from 1 species